CCCUUUAGUAACGGCGAGUGAACCGGGAUGAGCUCAAAUUUAAAAUCUGGCGUCUUUCAGGCGUCCGAGUUGUAAUCUAUAGAGGCGUUUUCCGCGCCGGACCGCGUCCAAGUCUCUUGGAAUAGAGUAUCAAAGAGGGUGACAAUCCCGUACUUGACGCGACAACCGGUGCUCUGUGAUACGUUCUCAAUGAGUCGAGUUGUUUGGGAAUGCAGCUCUAAAUGGGUGGUAAAUUCCAUCUAAGGCUAAAUAUUGGCGAGAGACCGAUAGCGAACAAGUACCGUGAGGGAAAGAUGAAAAGCACUUUGGAAAGAGAGUUAAACAGCACGUGAAAUUGUUAAAAGGGAAACGAUUGAAGUCAGUCGUGUGAAAGGUAUUCAGCCGUCUCUGGCGGUGUAUUUGCCUUUCACGGGUCAACAUCAGUUUGAUCCGGUAGAAAAAGGCGGGAGGAAGGUGGCACCCUCGGGUGUGUUAUAGCCUCCUGUCAUAUGUGCCGGACCAGACUGAGGAACGCAGCUUGCCGCAAGGCCGGGGUUCGCCCACGUACAAGCUUAGGAUGUUGACAUAAUGGCUUUAAACGAC
rnacentral:rRNA from 1 species